AUGACCACCAGAUUAGUGGACACGCAAAAUGCAAGGGCACCCUCUCACUAUGUUCACAUUAGCAGAGGUGCAUUGUGCGGUGCAGCGAAUGACAAGAGAGGAGAAGAGCAAGCUUGCGAGGCGGCGACCGUGGGGGAAUCGACUAGAUCCGCCGCGUGCCCAUCUGGAGGACGGGAACACGGUGACGAGGGCUGGUUCGGUGCGCACCUCCGCCACCGAGCCUCGCAUCGCCGACCACUAUCCCCUCCUCUCACAUGCCGCCACUAUCAAGAUAUAUCGGUGUGCCCCUCCUCACCGUCAAGCCGCAGGUCAGGUUCUUCCACAGAAACCCCCUCCCUGUGCUCCCUCUUUCUAGCCCGUGUCGCCUCUCCGACUCCUUCCUCCUUCCUUGUCGUCGCUCCCUCUCUUCACCAUAGCCGCUGCCGCUCCCCCUCCUAUGUUGAUCUUGGUCGUACCCAUCGCCGUGAAGAACGAGGGUUGUCGCUCCUGCAACUGCUCAACCCGGAGAAGCUCAUCGUCAUAAUCGCCAGACCGUCUUCCUCACAUCGUCCAAGCUAUUCUUGUAUAGCCGAAAAUUGCUCUGACCCAACGAUCCCCUUCCCCAUGCUAUUUUUUGAAAUAUUUUUGGCUGAUGAUGUGCCACAACUUCGCAAGGAAAGCAUACUUCAAGAACAAAGUGCUCAAUGUGAUAUGGACAUCCAGUCACUCUUGAGUGAUAUGACAGAAGUUACCAAUUCAUCUUGCUCUGGAGAUGGUGGACAAUCGAUCACUAAGAGAAAGAAAUUGAGGGAGGCACUCCUCCGACAAUGCAAGAUACUUCCAAGAUACACAGUAUUACCUUCAGUAUCAGAUGGAAUGUACCACGCCAGUGUACGUUUGAGAUGCCCUGAUUUUGAGAUGAGCCUCACUGGUGGUCUUCGUCCUACCCCACACAAGGCGAAGUGCUCGGCAGUUGCCAAUAUGAUAUUGGAGCUUCACAAGAAGGCGGAAGAGCAAGAACAGUAG
rnacentral:rRNA from 1 species